rnacentral:rRNA from 1 species
UGGGGAAUAUUGCACAAUGGGGGAAACCCUGAUGCAGCGACGCCGCGUGAGUGAAGAAGUCAUUCGUGACGUAAAGCUCUAUCAGCAGGGAAGAAGAGGGCGAAAGCCCGGACGGUACCUGACUAAGAAGCCCCGGCUAACUACGUGCCAGCAGCCGCGGUAAUACGUAGGGGGCAAGCGUUAUCCGGAUUUACUGGGUGUAAAGGGAGCGUAGACGGUAAGGCAAGUCUGAAGUGAAAGCCCAAGGCUCAACCAUGGGACUGCUUUGGAAACUGUCCUACUAGAGUACAGGAGAGGUAAGUGGAAUUCCUAGUGUAGCGGUGAAAUGCAUAGAUAUUAGGAGGAACACCAGUGGCGAAGGCGGCUUACUGGACUGCAACUGACGUUGAGGCUCGAAGGC